UACAGAGGGUGCAAGCGUUGUUCGGAAUCAUUGGGCGUAAAGCGCGUGUAGGCGGUCCGGUAAGUCCGCUGUGAAAGUCGAGGGCUCAACCCUCGAAUGCCGGUGGAUACUGUCGGGCUUGAGUACGGGAGAGGCGAGUGGAAUUCCUGGUGUAGCGGUGAAAUGCGCAGAUAUCAGGAAGAACACCCGUGGCUAAGGCGGCUCUCUAGUACGGUACUGACGCUGAGACGCGAAAGCGUGGGGAGCGAACAGG
rnacentral:rRNA from 1 species